rnacentral:tRNA from 1 species
GGCGUUGUAGAUCAAUCGGAAGAUCGCCGGGCUUUCAAUCCGGAGGUUGCGGGUUCGAACCCCGUCGGCGUCA